UGGGAUGUAGCUCAGUGAAAGAGCACUUACCUAGCAUGUGCAAGGUUCUGGGUUCAAUCCCCAGCACUGCAA
rnacentral:tRNA from 1 species